rnacentral:rRNA from 1 species
GACGAACGCUGGCGGCGUGCCUAAUACAUGCAAGUAGAACGCUGAAGGAGGAGCUUGCUUCUCUGGAUGAGUUGCGAACGGGUGAGUAACGCGUAGGUAACCUGCCUGGUAGCGGGGGAUAACUAUUGGAAACGAUAGCUAAUACCGCAUAAGAGUAGAUGUUGCAUGACAUUUGCUUAAAAGGUGCAAUUGCCUCACUACCAGAUGGCCCUGCGUUGUAUUAGCUAGUUGGUGAGGUAACGGCUCACCAAGGCAACGAUACAUAGCCGACCUGAGAGGGUGAUCGGCCACACUGGGACUGAGAAACGGCCCAGACUCCUACGGGAGGCAGCAGUAGGGGAUCUUCGGCAAUGGACGGAAGUCUGACCGAGCAACGCCGCGUGAGUGAAGAAGGUUUUCGGAUCGGAAAGCUCUGUUGUAAGAGAAGAACGAGUGUGAGAGUGGAAAGUUCACACUGUGACGGUAUCUUACCAGAAAGGGACGGCUAACUACGUG